rnacentral:misc_RNA from 1 species
AGAAAGAAAACGACAGUGUUUAUUUUUGUAGUAUAGAUAUUAUUACAAAAAGUGUACCUAACAAAAGAAAAGAAAGAGCAAUUGAUUUGUUAAAAAAUUCCAAAAAAUUAUUUUGACAAGAAAAACUUAAGGAAAAACUAAUGUCAUCUACCAUGGCUGAAGGAUAUAUUAUGAAUUUUAAUCAGGACUUUACUUCCAUAUCGGUUUUAAGUAAAAAUGGCUUUCGUUUGUUCACCAUUAAUGCAGGCGAUAAAAUCGAUGAGAUAUUCGCCAAAGAGAAUUCAGAACAAAUACGCAUUGUCGAGAGGCUAUUCAAUAGUUCGCUGGUAGUGCUGGUCACUCAACAGAAACCCAAUUGCCUAAAGAUGCUGCAUUUCAAAAAGAAACAGGAUAUUUGUAAUUGUGUUUAUCCUUCGGAUAUAUUGUGUGUUCGCAUGAAUCGUUAUCGUUUGAUUGUGUGUCUAGCGGAGAGUAUACAUAUACACGAUAUACGUGAUAUGAAAAUCUUACAUUCCAUUGAGAAUAUAGCACCAAAUGAAUAUGGUUUGUGUUCGCUGUCGUUGAAUUCACAUUUAGCAUUUCCCAUUUGUACGACUAGUGGAGAGUUGAGAAUUUUCAAUGCCAAUAAAUUGAAAACGGGUCUAACGAUUAAGGCUCAUGAUACGGCCUUGUCUGCCUUGAAUUUCUCACCGAAUGGCACUAUGUUGGCAACAGCCUCGGAGCGUGGUACUGUGAUAAGGGUAUUUUGUGUUAAGAAUGGUCAAAGGGUUCAGGAAUUUCGUAGAGGCGUUAAGCGUUGUGUGAGAAUAGCAUCAUUGGUAUUUUCUACUACCGGUGACUUUCUGUGUGCAUCUUCGAAUACCGAGACUGUUCAUAUAUUUAAGAUUGAUGUUAAAGCUGUGGAGGCUGCCGAAAGAAAGUCCAAUAUAGUAGACGAUGAAACUAAAAAACCCCAUACAGCGUUAGCACCUUCAACAUCUCAACCUAAAGAGGAGGCUUCUAACAAUCAACAAGCUACAAAAGCUUCUGCUAAUAGUACAACUUCAGCUGAUGCCCCUGUAACUGCAAAUUCUUCUUCCAGCAAUCAAACACCCGCCUCUACAACUUCUAAUAAUUCCUGGUCCAUGAGUGGUUAUCUAUCGAAAGCGGUCUCUUCUUAUCUGAUACCUUCACAAAUAGGUGAUGUGUUGGCGCAAGACAGAGCUUUUGCCACCGCAGUAUUAGGUCAACCGGGUCUUAAACAUGUUUGUGGUUUGGCACGCAUACAAAAGGAGUUACGUCUACUAAUGGCCUGUGAAGAUGGUUUCCUUUAUGUUUAUGAUUUUAAUAGUGAAAAAGGUGGUCCCUGUAAACUAUUACAUGUUCAUGAUUUGCGUUACACCCUAGAAGGUGUUAUAGAACUCAAUCUAACCGACAGCAUGGACAAAAUAUCUCUCUCAGGCCUAUUACCCUCUACACCCACUACCAAUCCCUCUUCCGGUUUUUCAGCUGAUAAAACUCCUACUAUUUCAACAGACUCUCAACAUUCCAAGGAUUCAUCACCAUCGCCCCACAGUAAAUCGAGCUCUAUGAGCAGUGUUAGUGUUAUAAUUGAAAAUCCUGAACCCACAACGGAUAAUUCAUAUGCUAGCAUUUUAAAAGGUUCUGAACAAACGGUGAACACUACUCUGACAGGUAUUAAGACCUAAUUUUUUCACUUAUUUUAAAAACACUUAUGGAGGGAAUAACAUAAACAUAUACAGACAUACAUAAUUUUGAAUUGAAAUGAUUCUGCCAAAUUUCGAAAACUCUGUGAUGCCAUUGACACACCCACUAAACUGUACGAUGAGCGACAAUUUCCUCCUGUAGCUAUAGCAGCCAAAGAUUGACACAAAAAUCCCGCCAAGGCUCAGCGUUUAAAGGAUACUAACAUGACAUAAACAAAAAGGAUUUUUUUCUAUAAAUAAAAAAAAUCUAUAAAAAAAAUGAAUUUAAAAAAUUUUAAAAAUCACAAAACUACUCC